UCGGGAAAACAGCCUCCCGAGUUCCUUGCGGAAUAGACGGUUUUCGUCCAAGUGCUGG
rfam:Burkholderiales bacterium GWF1_66_17 gwf1_scaffold_8, whole genome shotgun sequence.